GAGGGUUGACUAAAACUACAAAUCCCAGGAAGCCCAGCGGCGCAGCUCGCGCUGUGUGGCGGGAGUGCCCGCCGAAGCUGCGUCUUCCUCGGCUGGUGGAGGGAGCUUUUCGUCGAGUGGGUAUGGCGGUGAUCCUUGUGCUCAAGCUUCGUCGCUACAGAAAGAGACUUAGGCUGGCUUUUCGCAUUUUCCUGUGAGACGCUGCCCCAUUGACAAAUGCAUUCGUUAUAGUUAAGCACCUAGGUUUAAAGAAAAGAAGCUGGCAUGGAGGUUAUUGGGGGAUUUUAAGGGUGGGGAAGAACCCAAGACUACAAAGGAAAUGAAGCCUGGAAAAUCAGUAUGGACUGUUUUGCCAGAGUUUAAAUGACAACUUUUAAAUCAGAACCAUGAACCUAUAGGAGUCCAGUAUAUUCUGAAGUAAUUUGCAUACUAAUGAGCAGCAGCAAGAGAGACAUUUGGUGGACUAAAAAGACCUAAUGAAAAUUAAGAGACACAGGCACUUCCCUGGUGGCACAGUGGUUAAGAAUCCACCUGCCAAUGCAGGGGACAUGGGUUGGAGCCCUGGUCCGGGAAGAUCCCACAUGCUGUGGAGCAACUAAGCCCAUGCGCCACAACUACUGAGCCUGUGCACUGCAACUACUGAAGCCCACGUGCGUAGAGCCAGUGCUCCGCAACAAGAGAAGCCACUGCAAUGAGAAACCCGCGCACUGCAACGAAGAGUAGCCCCCACUCGCAGCAACUAGAGAAAGCCCAAGUGCAGCAACAAAGACCCAACGCAGCCAAAAAAAAAAAAGAAAACUAAGAGACACAACAUUCAGAGCAAUUGGAGGAGAAGAAGAAUGGAUAAUGGAUGGUGGCUGGUGGAAGAGGAGGUAUUCAUUCUUUGGAAGGU